GACGAACGCUGGCGGCGUGCCUAAUACAUGCAAGUUGAGCGCUGAAGGUUGGUACUUGUACCGACUGGAUGAGCAGCGAACGGGUGAGUAACGCGUGGGGAAUCUGCCUUUGAGCGGGGGACAACAUUUGGAAACGAAUUCUAAUACCGCAUAAAAACUUUAAACACAAGUUUUAAGUUUGAAAGAUGCAAUUGCAUCACUCAAAGAUGAUCCCGCGUUGUAUUAGCUAGUUGGUGAGGUAAAGGCUCACCAAGGCGAUGAUACAUAGCCGACCUGAGAGGGUGAUCGGCCACAAUGGGACUGAGACACGGCACAAACUCCUACGGGAGGCAGCAGUAGGGAAUCUUCGGCAAUGGACGAAAGUCUGACCGAGCAACGCCGCGUGAGUGAAGAAGGUUUUCGGAUCGUAAAACUCUGUUGGUAGAGAAGAACGUUGGUGAGAGUGGAAAGCUCAUCAAGUGACGGUAACUACACAGAAAGGGACGGCUAACUACGUG
rnacentral:rRNA from 1 species